GCUGGGCGUGGUGGCACGCGCCUGUAGUCCAAGCUACUCGGGAGGCUGAGGCAGGAGAAUUGCUUGAACUCGGGAGGCGGAGGUUGCAGUGAGCCGAGAUCGUGCCACUGCACUCCAGCCUGAGUGACAGAGCGAGACUCUGUCUCAA
rfam:Gorilla gorilla gorilla genomic chromosome, chr15, whole genome shotgun sequence